UCAAGUUAUUAAGGGUGCAGGGCGGAUGCCUUGGCACUAGGAGCCGAUGAAGGACGUGAUAAGCUGCGAUAAGCUUCGGGGAGUUGCACGUAAACUUUGAUCCGAAGAUUUCCGAAUGAGGAAACUCACUUAGAGUAAUGUCUAAGUAUCAUUAAGUGAAUACAUAGCUUAAUGAGGGGAACUCAGGGAACUGAAACAUCUAAGUACCUGAAGGAAGAGAAAGAAAUUCGAUUCCGUAAGUAGCGGCGAGCGAACGCGGAUUAGCCCAAACCAAUAAAGUUUUCUUUAUUGGGGUUGCGGACAUAUCAUAACGAAGAGGUAUCGUAAUUGAAGAGGUUUGGAAAGACCCACCACAGAAGGUAAUAGUCCUGUAUGUUAAACGAGAAGACUUUAGAUAUGAUCCAGAGUACCACGGGACACGUGAAACCCUGUGGGAAGCAGGAGGGACCACCCUCCAAGGCUAAAUACUACCUAGUGACCGAUAGCGUAUAGUACCGUGAGGGAAAGGUGAAAAGAACCCCGGGAGGGGAGUGAAAUAGAACCUGAAACCCUGCACUUACAAGCUGUGGAAGCACAUUUCUUGUGUGACCGCGUACUUUUUGUAGAACGGGCCAACGAGUUACGUUAAGUAGCAAGGUUAAGCACUUAAGGUGCGGAGCCGUAGCGAAAGCGAGUUUUAACUGAGCGUUCAGUUACUUGACGUAGACCCGAAACCGGGCGACCUACCCAUGAGCAGGAUGAAGCGAAAGUAAAAUUUCGUGGAGGUCCGAACCCACGAGCGUUGAAAAGCUCGGGGAUGACUUGUGGGUAGCGGUGAAAUUCCAAUCGAGCCCGGAGAUAGCUGGUUCUCCCCGAAAUAGCUUUAGGGCUAGCCUCAAGGUGAGAGAUACGGAGGUAGAGCACUGAAUGUCCUAGGGGGUAUUGCACCUACCGAAGACUAUCAAACUCCGAAUGCCGUCAUCUUAUACUUGGGAGUCAGACUGUGGGUGAUAAGAUUCAUAGUCGAAAGGGCAACAGCCCAGAUCGUCAGCUAAGGUCCCUAAAUGUAAGUUAAGUGGUAAAGGAUGUGGGAUUGCACAGACAACCAGGAUGUUGGCUUAGAAGCAGCCACUCAUUCAAAGAGUGCGUAAUAGCUCACUGGUCGAGUGAUCCUGCGCCGAAGAUUUCCGGGGCUAAAACUUACUACCGAAGCUACGGCAUCAGUAAUGAUGGGUAGGGGAGCUUCCCAUACGGGUUGAAGCAUGACCGUAAGGACAUGUGGACAGUAUGGGAGUGAGAAUGUUGGCAUGAGUAGCGAGAUGUGGGUGAGAAUCCCACAGGCCGUAAACCCAAGGUUUCCAGGGGAAGGUUCGUCCGCCCUGGGUUAGUCGGGACCUAAGCUGAGGCCGAAAGGCGUAGGUGAUGGACAACAGGCUGAUAUUCCUGUACUACCGAUAACCGUUUGAGAGAAGGGAUGACACAGUAGGAUAAGCUAAGCACACUGUUGGUUAUGUGUGCCCAAGCAUUGAGGCAGUCAAAGUAGGUAAAUCCGCUUUGAUAAUGCUGGGAUGUGAUGGGGAGCGAAAUUUAGUAGCGAAGUAGCUGAUUUCACACUGUCAAGAAAAGUCUCUAUCGAGGUUAAAGGUACCCGUACCGCAAACCGACACAGGUGGGUGAGGAGAGUAUCCUAAGGCCAGCGAGAGAACUGUUGUUAAGGAACUCGGCAAAAUGACCCCGUAACUUAGGGAUAAGGGGUGCCACCAUCAGGUGGCCGCAGAGAAUAGGCCCAAGCGACUGUUUACCAAAAACAUAGGUUUCUGCUAAGUCGCAAGACGAUGUAUAGGAGCUGACGCCUGCCCGGUGCUGGAAGGUUAAGGGGAUCUGUUAGAGCAAUCGAAGCAGUGAACUUAAGCCCCAGUAAACGGCGGCCGUAACUAUAACGGUCCUAAGGUAGCGAAAUUCCUUGUCGGGUAAGUUCCGACCCGCACGAAAGGCGUAACGAUUUGGGCACUGUCUCAACAACAGACUCGGUGAAAUUGUAAUUCCGGUGAAGAUGCCGGAUACCUGCGACAGGACGGAAAGACCCCAUGGAGCUUUACUGUAGCUUGACAUUGGGUCUUGGUACUACAUGUACAGGAUAGGUGGGAGGCUUUGAAACCAGGACGCCAGUUUUGGCGGAGCCAUCCUUGGGAUACCACCCUUGUAGUACUGGGACUCUAACCAUAGGCCAUGAAUCUGGUCUUGGGACACUGUCAGGUGGGCAGUUUGACUGGGGCGGUCGCCUCCCAAAAGGUAACGGAGGCGCUCAAAGGUUCUCUCAGUACGGUCGGAAAUCGUACGUAGAGUGUAAAGGCAAAAGAGAGCUUGAUUGCAAGACAUACAGGUCGAGCAAGGAUGAAAAUCGGACUUAGUGAUCCGGUGGUUCUGCGUGGAAGGGCCAUCGCUCAACGGAUAAAAGCUACCCUGGGGAUAACAGGCUUAUCUCCCCCAAGAGUCCACAUCGACGGGGAGGUUUGGCACCUCGAUGUCGGCUCAUCACAUCCUGGGGCUGUAGUAGGUCCCAAGGGUUGGGCUGUUCGCCCAUUAAAGUGGUACGCGAGCUGGGUUCAGAACGUCGUGAGACAGUUCGGUCCCUAUCCGUCGCAGGCGUAGGAAAUUUGAGAAGACCUGUCCUUAGUACGAGAGGACCGGGAUGGACGUACCUCUGGUGUACCAGUUGUUCUGCCAAGGGCAUGGCUGGGUAGCUAUGUACGGAAUGGAUAAGCGCUGAAAGCAUCUAAGCGCGAAGCCAACUUCAAGAUAAGAUUUCCCACCGCAAGGGUAAGACCCCAGAAAGACUAUCUGGUUGAUAGGUCGAAGGUGUAAGUGCAGCAAUGUAUUUAGCUUAUCGAUACUAAUAGGUCGAGGACUUGACCAA
rnacentral:rRNA from 1 species